AUAAUACUCCAUAGAUUAGAGACACUGGAAUGUUCUUUAGUCGAAAGUUCUGGCGCCUUAGGAUGGAUCUGCGGUCGAUUAGGUUGUUGUUGGGGUAACGGCCCAACAAGCCUGUAAUCGAUACGGGUUGUGGGAGCAAGAGCCCGGAGAUGGAAUCUGAGACACGAUUCCAGGCCCUACGGGGCGCAGCAGGCGCGAAAACUUUACAAUGCAGGAAACUGCGAUAAGGGAACUCCGAGUGCCCGUAUACGCGGGCUGUCCAGGUGUUUAAAAAUCAUCUGAAGAAAGGGCCGGGCAAGACCGGUGCCAGCCGCCGCGGUAAUACCGGCGGCUCGAGUGGUGGCCACUAUUAUUGGGCUUAAAGCGUCCGUAGCUGGACCGAUAAGUCUCUUGGGAAAUCCGCCGGCUCAACCGGCGGGCGUCUAAGGGAUACUGUUAGUCUAGGGACCGGGAGAGGUGAGAGGUACUCCGGGGGUAGGAGUGAAAUCCUGUAAUCCCCGGGGGACCACCGAUGGCGAAGGCAUCUCACCAGAACGGCUCCGACAGUGAGGGACGAAAGCUGGGGGAGCGAACCGGAUUAGAUACCCGGGUAGUCCCAGCCGUAAACUAUGCGCGUUAGGUGU
rnacentral:rRNA from 1 species